GAAUUCGCCCUUAGAGUUUGAUCCUGGCUCAGGACGAACGCUGGCGGCACGCCUAACACAUGCAAGUCGAACGGACUUAAAAGAGCUUGCUUUUUUAAGUUAGUGGCGGACGGGUGAGUAACACGUGAGCAACCUGCCUCUGAGAGGGGGAUAGCUUCUGGAAACGGAUGGUAAUACCCCACAAAAUAUAAAUAUCGCAUGAUAGAUAUAUCAAAGAAAUUCGCUCAGAGAUGGGCUCGCGUCUGAUUAGAUAGUUGGUGAGGUAACGGCUCACCAAGUCGACGAUCAGUAGCCGGACUGAGAGGUUGAACGGCCACAUUGGGACUGAGACACGGCCCAGACUCCUACGGGAGGCAGCAGUGGGGAAUAUUGCACAAUGGAGGGAACUCUGAUGCAGCGAUGCCGCGUGAAGGAAGAAGGCUUUCGGGUUGUAAACUUCUUUUGUCGGGGACGAGUAGAAGACGGUACCUGGCGAAUAAGCCACGGCUAACUACGUGCCAGCAGCCGCGGUAAUACGUAGGUGGCAAGCGUUGUCCGGACUUACUGGGUGUAAAGGGCGUGUAGCCGGGAAGGCAAGUCAGAUGUGAAAUCCACGGGCUUAACUCGUGAACUGCAUUUGAAACUACUUUUCUUGAGUAUCGGAGAGGCAAUCGGAAUUCCGAGUGUAGCGGUGAAAUGCGUAGAUAUUCGGAGGAACACCAGUGGGCGAAGGCGGCCUGCUGGGCUCUAACUGACGCUGGGGCUCGAAAGUGUGGGGAGCAAACAGGAUUAGAUACCCUGGUAGUCCACACUGUAAACGAUGAUU
rnacentral:rRNA from 1 species